rnacentral:rRNA from 1 species
AAUAGAUACCCCGGUAGUCCACGCCCUAAACGAUGCGAACUGGAUGUUGGGUUCAACUUGGAACCCAGUAUCGAAGCUAACGCGUUAAGUUCGCCGCCUGGGGAGUACGGUCGCAAGACUGAAACUCAAAGGAAUUGACGGGGGCCCGCACAAGCGGUGGAGUAUGUGGUUUAAUUCGAUGCAACACGAAGAACCUUACCUGGUCUUGACAUCCACGGAACUUUCCAGAGAUGGAUUGGUGCCUUCGGGAACCGUGAGACAGGUGCUGCAUGGCUGUCGUCAGCUCGUGUCGUGAGAUGUUGGGUUAAGUCCCGCAACGAGCGCAACCCUUGUCCUUAGUUGCCAGCACGUAAUGGUGGGAACUCUAAGGAGACCGCCGGUGACAAACCGGAGGAAGGUGGGGAUGACGUCAAGGUCAUCAUGGCCCCUUACGACCAGGGCUACACACGUACUACAAUGGUGGGGACAGAGGGCUGCAAUCCCGCGAGGGUGAGCCAAUCCCAGAAACCCCAUCUCAGUCCGGAUCGGAGUCUGCAACUCGACUCCGU